rnacentral:rRNA from 1 species
AUGCAAGUCGAACGAGCGAGAGAGAGCUUGCUUUCUCGAGCGAGUGGCGAACGGGUGAGUAACGCGUGAGGAACCUGCCUCAAAGAGGGGGACAACAGUUGGAAACGACUGCUAAUACCGCAUAAGCCCACGGGUCGGCAUCGACCAGAGGGAAAAGGAGCAAUCCGCUUUGAGAUGGCCUCGCGUCCGAUUAGCUAGUUGGUGAGGUAACGGCCCACCAAGGCGACGAUCGGUAGCCGGACUGAGAGGUUGAACGGCCACAUUGGGACUGAGACACGGCCCAGACUCCUACGGGAGGCAGCAGUGGGGAAUAUUGCACAAUGGGGGAAACCCUGAUGCAGCGACGCCGCGUGGAGGAAGAAGGUCUUCGGAUUGUAAACUCCUGUUGUUGGGGAAGAUAAUGACGGUACCCAACAAGGAAGUGACGGCUAACUACGUGCCAGCAGCCGCGGUAAAACGUAGGUCACAAGCGUUGUCCGGAAUUACUGGGUGUAAAGGGAGCGCAGGCGGGAAGACAAGUUGGAAGUGAAAUCUAUGGGCUCAACCCAUAAACUGCUUUCAAAACUGUUUUUCUUGAGUAGUGCAGAGGUAGGCGGAAUUCCCGGUGUAGCGGUGGAAUGCGUAGAUAUCGGGAGGAACACCAGUGGCGAAGGCGGCCUACUGGGCACCAACUGACGCUGAGGCUCGAAAGUGUGGGUAGCAAACAGGAUUANAUACCCUGGUAGUCCACACCGUAAACGAUGAUUACUAGGUGUUGGAGGAUUGACCCCUUCAGUGCCGCAGUUAACACAAUAAGUAAUCCACCUGGGGAGU